AGAGUUUGAUCCUGGCUCAGAAUGAACGCUGGCGGCGUGCUUAACACAUGCAAGUCGAACGAGGNCGUUCCUUNGGGAACAAGUACAGUGGCGAACGGGUGCAUAACACGUGAGAAUUUACCCUUGAGUGAAGAAUACCAUCGAGAAAUCGAUAUUAAUACUGCAUAAUCGGGUUGGUAGAGAUACCAAUUUGGAAAGACGGCCUCUUGCUGUCGCUUAAGGAUGAGCUCGCGGACUAUUAGUUAGUUGGUGGGGUAAUAGCCUACCAAGACUAUGAUGGUUAGCCGGCCUGAGAGGGUGAUCGGCCACAUUGGGACUGAGAUACGGCCCAGACUCCUACGGGAGGCAGCAGUGGGGAAUAUUGCACAAUGGACGAAAGUCUGAUGCAGCGACGCCGCGUGGGGGAUGAAGGUUUUCGGAUCGUAAACUCCUGUUAAGAGGGAAGAAAUAGCCUUGAGUAAUAUGCAAGGAAGAUGACGGUACCUCUAGAGAAAGCUCCGGCUAACUUCGUGCCAGCAGCCGCGGUAAUACGAAGGGAGCGAGCGUUAUUCGGAAUAACUGGGCGUAAAGAGCGUGUAGGUGGCAUUAUAAGUCAGUUGUUAAAUAUCACGGCCCAACCGUGAAAAUGCGAUUGAGACUGUAAAGCUAGAGGGCAGAAGAGAGAAGUGGAAUUCUUGGAGUAGCGGUAAUAUGCGUAGAUCUCAAGAGGAACACCGAUUGCGAAGGCAGCUUCUUGGUCUGUCCCUGACACUCAAAUGCGAAAGCGUGGGGAGCAAACAGGAUUAGAUACCCUGGUAGUCCACGCCGUAAACGAUGAUCACUAGAUGUGGGGAGGGCUUGCCUUUUCCGUGUCGUAGCUAACGCGUUAAGUGAUCCGCCUGGGGAGUACGAUCGCAAGAUUAAAACUCAAAGGAAUUGACGGGGGUCCGCACAAGCGGUGGAACAUGUGGUUUAAUUCGUCACUACGCGAGAAACCUUACCUAGACUUGACAUAUAUUCGCUAUCCAUAGAAAUAUGGAGUUCCUAGUUUACUAGGACGACUAUACAGGUGCUGCAUGGCUGUCGUCAGCUCGUGUCGUGAGAUGUUGGGUUAAGUCCUUUAACGAGCGCAACCCUUACCGUUAGUUGCUACCAUUUAGUUGGGCACUCUAGCGGGACUGCCUGGGGUAACCAGGAGGAAGGUGGGGAUGACGUCAAGUCCUCAUGGCCUUUAUGUCUAGGGCAACACACGUGUUACAAUGGCGAACACAAAGAGGAGCAAUACCGCGAGGUGGAGCAAAUCUCAUAAAAUUCGUCUAAGUUCGGAUUGGAGUCUGCAACUCGACUCCNUGAAGUUGAAAUCGCUAGUAAUCGCAUAUCAGAACGAUGCGGUGAAUACGUUCUCGGACCUUGUACACACCGCCCGUCACACCACGAGAAUUGUCUACACCUGAAAUCACCUUAGCUAACUCUUCGGAGGGGCGGGUGCUGACGGUGUGG
rnacentral:rRNA from 1 species